rnacentral:tRNA from 1 species
GUCUCAGUAGCAUAGUGGUUAGUGCACAGCCCCGGAAAGGUUGAGACGCGGGUUCGAUUCCCCGCCUGAGAUG